rnacentral:misc_RNA from 1 species
AAGUCGUAACAAGGUUUCCGUAGGUGAACCUGCGGAAGGAUCAUUAAAAUGGUUGGGGUUCCUAGUGGCCCCAAUCCUUCCCAAACCCUCUGUUGUUAAAACUACCCUUUGUUUGCUUUUGGGCGGGACCGUUUCGGGUCUCCGAGGCGUUAACCUUCGGGUUGGGAGCGCCCGCCAGAGUCCAACCAAAUCUUGUAUUAAACCAGUCGUCUAGUAUAAAAUUUUAAAUUUCAAAUUAAAACC